rnacentral:lncRNA from 1 species
AUGGAAGGGAGAGCCAGGGACAGAUCCUGUGUUGUAAUGGACUGAAAAACCACCUCCUCUAAAUAUUGACAUUCAAAUAACUGUCACCACGAUACUGCUUGUUCCUGCCACAGGCUUCAGCAAAAUUGCUGCUUGUCUUCCCUCCCCCACAACGCUGAAUCCCAGCACCCCAGACUGUCGUGACUGCCGGGGAUUGGUGACAUCUCGAGUGACACGUGUUGGAGCAUCAGAACAGAGUGGGAGCAGCACAGCUUGGCUCCAGGAGCCAAAAAUAGUGCUUCCCAGAAUGUCCUGGCAGCCUGAGAAGUGGUGGACACCGCAAUGACACCCCAGAGGAGCAGCUGAGUGCUACUGAUUGCUGGAGUCCCCAAAUGCAGGUGGCCAGCCCCCUGACCAGUUGGUUGGUACCAGAGCUGGAGAGGGAUGACUGUGUUCCAUAGCCCUUGGGAAGGGUGCCUUGGCCUCCUGUCAGUGAGUGCAGGGUGUUUGGGCUGUGUGUGUGUGGGGGGGGAAUGAGGAGAACCUGCCACGUGCCAAGAAUGAGGGGAGCGAAGGAUUCCCACCAAAUGAUCCCACAGUGAACUUUUGAUCCAUCAGCUCAUCUGAUCCACCUGAUCCAUCAGCUGGGCCUUUCAGGUAACACACAGAAAAGGGCUGUGCUGCUGUUUGUCUGUAAGGUGUGCUGGGCUCUGCAUUUUCCAGGCAUCCUCUGCUGCUGGUCUAAGGUUGUUUCUUUGGUUUUCCAAACCCAGAGGCAAAUGACUGUUUCUUUGUGCUAAGCAUCAAUUCUCUUCUUUUUU